UUAAAUUGAAGAGUUUGAUCAUGGCUCAGAUUGAAUGCUGGCGGCAGGCCUAACACAUGCAAGUCGAACGGUAACAGGAAACAGCUUGCUGUU
rnacentral:rRNA from 1 species